GACGAACGCUGGCGGCGUGCCUAAUACAUGCAAGUCGAGCGGACGGAUGGGAGCUUGCUCCCAGACCGUCAGCGGCGGACGGGUGAGUAACACGUGGGCAACCUGCCUGUAAGACUGGGAUAACUCCGGGAAACCGGGGCUAAUACCGGAUAACUCUUUCCCUCACAUGAGGGAAAGCUGAAAGAUGGCAUCUCGCUAUCACUUACAGAUGGGCCCGCGGCGCAUUAGCUAGGUGGUGAGGUAACGGCUCACCAAGGCGGCGAUGCGUAGCCGACCUGAGAGGGUGAUCGGCCACACUGGGACUGAGACACGGCCCAGACUCCUACGGGAGGCAGCAGUAGGGAAUCUUCCGCAAUGGACGAAAGUCUGACGGAGCAACGCCGCGUGAGUGAUGAAGGUUUUCGGAUCGUAAAACUCUGUUGUCAGGGAAGAACAAGUACCGGAGUAACUGCCGGUACCUUGACGGUACCUGACCAGAAAGCCACGGCUAACUACGUG
rnacentral:rRNA from 1 species